AAGAAAUCGGAACAGAACUCACGAAAAGAAAGGAAACCUCAGUGCACACCAAUCCUCAUCUCUCACGUCCUGGGUCAUCGUCUUCCUCCUCGGUCACGACACGGAGCCUAUAUACAGUGAAAAAAUCGGCUCCUUACCCCUCCUCCUCGCGAGAGUGAAGAACCUUGCCCGUUACUCCACGGAACCUACCUGAUGCCGCAACGGCUGGCACAAUCUCUCGGCCACAACACCGUAGCCCUCUUUGCGCCUGAGGCUCCUUCGAGCAAUUUCUUCCCUGCGUGUGGUAGCUCGAGAUGGAUUCGUCACCGUUGGCUAUACCCGCCCGUGCACCCACCCCGGCCGCCUUUCACAUCGCCGUUCUGCCACAAAGCUAGCAGCAUCGCCGCAGCCAGAGCCGGCACAAGCAAACUCGCCGUGGGAUGAGAGGGGAAGGAGGAGAAGGGGAAACUAUGGUGCGAUGGGUCGUAGAAGACUCCGCGGAGGCGACGGCCGCGGCCGCCGAGCUCUCGGACUUCCAGCAGCAGCACACUGUCCCCAAACCGAUGAGAUCCACAUCAACGGUGCUUAGCCCUCCAUUGCAACAUCGAAUAACAACGGAGACAGCACACCCGUCGAGAUCCACCAGGAGGUGGGCGCCUGCAUGCCAGAGAUGAUCUUCGGCCGUCAAGAAAUACACGCAGGUGAGUUUGGUUGCCAACGACACUAGAAUUCAGAAUCUGCCCAUACCACCAUAUUGGAGUGCAAGACGGCAGUUCUCUUUUGACCAUGACUGGUAUCUUGAUAGUAGUUGGAGUGGAGUAUCUGGACUAUUUAACUGGGCAAAGCAGAUAAAAAUACUGCAGAAUCAGUCCACAAAAAUUCGCCUAUAUGAACUGCUGAGGAGAAGUUCCGCCACAGAAGGUCACACCCAUCGCCGGUCAGUACAUGGUGCUUUGUGCUGAAGGAGCCGAUCCGAGAAAGGUUUUAAUCGCGUGCACAUGGUGCUUUGUGGCUACUUUCUCUCGUCAUACUAUCAAGCAAUGGUUCAAAUCUGAUCAAGGCAUGACGACAAAAACAUUACUUCCACAUUGUUGCUAGCUGUGAAGUUUGUCAAAGUUGAACAGAAGAAAUAUCCCGCAGUGUCAAAGUUGGCUAGAAGAAAUAGUGUGGCACACGAAGUGGGUUUGUAAAUGAGU